CAGCCCUCGCUCACGCCUUCAACCCUAUAGAUACCCAACGCCCCCUACUCUUCCGAUUUUCGCCAAAAUCUCCUGUUCCCGUGCCCUAGGGCGUCGUCCCGAUCUUGCCGGAGUUCCGCCACCUCCUGAAUCUUCUGCUGGGAUUCACCGAACCGAGCGCUACAACCUCGACCAGAAGCAGAGCACCGCCGCCGUCGCUCCAGUCGUCCAUCGACGCCACCAGAGGGCGUGAUCCUCCCCGACGAGGCCCCUUUUGUCUUCACAGGAGAGUUCUGCGACCGCCCGUCCCUUCCUCCACCGCCGGAGACGCGCGGAAGUCAUCGCCGUCUUUCCCCCUGGUCGCUCGCGCCGUCGUCUUCUUCAGGUCCGGCGCGCAGCUCCUCUAUUCUCCGAUUGCCCAGAGUGUGAAGCGGAUCAGAAUUGAGCGUUAGAAUACUUCAACACCGUUCAAGGCAAGUUUGCACUUUUAAUUUUGCUUAUCCUAUAUUCUGCUAUGCGUGUGUGGUUUUAUGUUAUGCUAUAUGUUUGGCUUGAUAUGUGUAUUCUGUGUGUACCAUGUUUUGUUGUUGAUUGUGGUAUGUGAUGGUGUGAUCAACUUGCUAUGGUAGGCGCGGGCAUGUGUCGAGUGAUCCAUGAAAGUGGUGAGUGUUUAUAGCCGUAGACUCGGGAUCAUUAACCAGGUGAAUGCGUCACUGGCAGAGCGCUCUAUUGUCCCUAGUAAAUGCGCCAUUGACAGAGCGCACUUGAGGCGAGGUAUAGUCUUCGGAACAUAAAUCAGGUGAAUGCGUCCUUGGCAGAGCGCUCUAUUGUUCCUAGAGAAUGCGCCAUUGACAGAGCGCACUUGAGAUACUUCUGAAGUUCUUGUCAUGUUUAUUUAGAAUCUUUGGGUUAUCUUGGGCGAGUAAAUUAGAGACGGUUGUGAGUUCAGGAAGUGGAGGUAGGUGAAGACAUUCUUCUCCAAACUAACUUGUGUGUUUGUUUGUCAUACAUUGCUUUGUGGAUGUAGGUUUGCUAUAUCAUAUUGUGUGAUUUGCCAAUACAUUCAAUGUAUUGACCCUUGUGGCAGCAACCUAUCAUGUUGCAGGAUUUUCAGAUGAUCAGUGAGAUACAGUAGGGUCGCGAGUCUUCACUCAACAUAUUCUCCAGUGGGCAUUGAUGGACUCAUCGUUUAUUAUGCUACCUUUCCGCUGUUAUUACUGAAUAAAGUUAGCUAUGUGCUAUUCAGUUUGUAAUACUUUAUGAAUUCUGGAUCAUACGUUAUAGUAAAUGAUGCACUUGUUAUUUGAUAUUCAUAUGU